rnacentral:rRNA from 1 species
UGCCAGCCGCCGCGGUAAUACGGAGGGUGCAAACGUUGUUCGGAAUCACUGGGCAUAAAGCGCACGUAGGCGGCUAUGCAAGUGUGGAGUGAAAGCCCACGGCUCACCCGUGGAAUUGCUUUGCAAACUGUAUGGCUCGAGGAUGGUAGGGGAGAGCGGAACUCUUGGUGGAGCGGUGAAAUGCGUAGAUAUCAAGAGGAACACCGGUGGCGAAGGCGGCUCUCUGGUCCAUUUCUGACGCUCAUGUGCGAAAGUGUGGGUAGCGAACAGGAUUAGAUA